UACAGAGGCCUCGAGCGUUAGGCGGAAUCACUGGGCUUAAAGCGUGUGUAGGCGGACUUCUAAGUACCUUGUGAAAUCCCACGGCUCACCCGUGGAACUGCUGGGUAUACUGGGCGUCUUGAGCCACCUAGGGGCCAGCGGAACAAAUGGUGGAGCGGUGAAAUGCGUAGAUAUCAUCUGGAACGCCAACGGUGAAAACAGCUGGCUGGGGGUGUGCUGACGCUGAGACACGAAAGCCGGGGGAGCGAACGGG
rnacentral:rRNA from 1 species